rnacentral:rRNA from 1 species
AUGCAGGGGGAGAGCGAGGGAAUGGAAUUCCUACUAGAUGCGGUCGACAGGUUCCCGGUGCGGGAGGAGUUUGCUGACAAUCUUGAACACCCAGAUCCAGUCCCGCUGAUGUACCUACUGGAUAAGGUUACUGCUAAUCAGGAUGAUGACCACGCGGAUGUUGAUUCUGCGGCAGCUGAGAUGGUGGGAGAUGGUUUGCUCACCGAGGGUCAGGUGAGUGGGCAGCGUAGACGUGAAGAAUCGCCGACGAGGUCUGCCCAAUCGACUGGCAGAGUAAAUCCUCAGGCCCCCGGCUGGACUAAAAGGCUUCGUCCGGGGAGUGCGCCACCAGACCGUGUGCCUUGUCCAUCCAGGAUGAGCGCCCUGGAGCUAUCAAUGCGUAAAUACGCAGAGGAACCAGACAAGAGUGUGGUGCGACCUGAGCUAGGUCUUAGUUUUGAUUCACUGGGUGAGGCGUAUGAUUUCUACAACUUGUACUCCUGGGAAAUUGGUUUUGGAAUAAGAUAUGGAAAAAGCAGGCUAAAUGCCGAGAGGAUGAAAACAAUGCAGGAGAUAGUAUGUGGAUGUUCGGUGUCUGCAGGGAAAACCCGGCUCUAA